UCGAGAGUUUGAUCCUGGCUCAGGAUGAACGCUAGCGGCAGGCUUAACACAUGCAAGUCGAGGGGUAUAGUUCUUCGGAGCUAGAGACCGGCGCACGGGUGCGUAACGCGUAUGCAAUCUACCUUUUACAGAGGGAUAGCCCAGAGAAAUUUGGAUUAAUACCUCAUAGUAUGUGAGAAUCGCAUGGUUUUCACAUUAAAGUCAACAACGGUAAAAGAUGAGUAUGCGUCCCAUUAGCUAGAUGGUAAGGUAACGGCUUA
rnacentral:rRNA from 1 species